GCCUCUUGGAGUGAUUUUCAGUUGUACUUUGUAAUAAAAUAUUGUUCAUUUUGUACUUUGUCGUCGAGCCGUGCAUUUGGGUUCAGGUCCAAGUACAGCCUUAACAGUGUCUGGUUACUUUUGUAUCAGAGCCCAGGAACAAGCUUGGUUAUGAGGCCCUCACAGAAGAAGAGGAGAGGGAAUCGAACCAAGACUUUGGUGGCAAUUGAUGGAGGUUCUGACCUCUUAUCCCCCAAAAAGAGACCUAACCCUCACAAUGAAGAUGGGAGUUCAGAUAUAGAUGG